rnacentral:lncRNA from 1 species
AGGCCAUUGGCAUGGGAUGCAUGACCCAACCACCUUGGGUGAUAGUCCCUGGUGCGCAAGUUGCAUGGCCCGAUCAUCAUGCGGUUAAAGCCUGCAUGUGCAGGAUGCACAUCCCAGCCCUCCCUAUUUGCAAUGCUGUUCGAUACUUUGAAACCCCUAUAGUGGGAUUUGCCUGAAUGCCUUGCUGGGGUGCUAGGGGGC